AUGGUGGUAACGGGUAACGGGGUGUUAGGGCACGACACCGGAGAGGGAGCCUGAGAAACGGCUACCACAUCCAAGGAUGGCAGCAGGCGCGCAAAUUACCCAAUCCCGACACGGGGAGGUAGUGACAAUAAAUAACAAUACGGGGUUCUUUCGGAUCUCGUAAUUGGAAUGAGUACAAUUUAAAUCUCUUAACGAGGAACAAUUGGAGGGCAAGUCUGGUGCCAGCAGCCGCGGUAAUUCCAGCUCCAAUAGCGUAUAUUAAAGUUGUUGCAGUUAAAAAGCUCGUAGUUGAAUUUCGGGAUCAAUAUGUUGGUCGUGCCUUGGUACGUACUGGCAUUAUUGGUUUCUACCUUCUGAAGAACCUCGAUGUCAUUAAUUUGGUGUCUUGGGGAAUCAGGACUGUUACUUUGAAAAAAUUAGAGUGUUUAAAGCAGGCUCGCGCUUGAAUACAUUAGCAUGGAAUAAUGAAAUAGGACGUUUGAUUCUAUUUUGUUGGUUUCUAGGAUCGACGUAAUGAUUAAUAGGGAUAGUUGGGGGCAUUAGUAUUCAAUUGUCAGAGGUGAAAUUCUUGGAUUUAUUGAAGACUAACUACUGCGAAAGCAUUUGCCAAGGAUGUUUUCAUUAAUCAAGAACGAAAGUUAGGGGAUCGAAGACGAUCAGAUACCGUCGUAGUCUUAACCAUAAACUAUGCCGA
rnacentral:rRNA from 1 species